UUCCCAUCCAACACCACAAGAUCCCCCCAAAUCUCCCCCAGCUCCCCCCUCAAAUCCCUUCCAACCCCCCCAAGAGGGAUCGCCCGGCACCCUGGGACAGGAACACAGUGGGCUGUACUGGGGGCACUGGGCUGUACUGGGAGGGCACUGGGGGGUCCUCAGGUGUCCCACGACAACGUGGCCCAGCUCCAGGAGAGAUCUGGGGAGCAGUGAGGAGCUACUGGUCUGUCCUGGUCUGUACUGGUCUGUCCUGGUUUGUUCCCCCAAUCCCCAAAGCCCCUCCCCAGUUCCCCCAGGACCCUCCUGCACCCCAAAGCCCCCCAGGCCCCCCCAGGCCCCUGACUUGGUCCUGCUGCCCCUUGAGCAUCUGCAGCUGCUGCAGAACCAGGCAUUUCAUCAGCAAAUGUGCAGCUGACACCAAGCUGGGGGUGUGUUGAUGUGCUGGAAGGCAGGAGGGCUCUGCAGAGGGACCUGGCCAAGCUGGAUCCAUGGGCAGAACAGGAUCAGACAUAUUCUGUCAUCCUGGGACAGGGUUCAGGGUAUCAUGAACCAAGUGCCAGACAAGUCCCACUCUUCCCCUAAACACAAAGAUGAGAAGAAGAGCAGUAAGUCUCCGGAGAAGCCAGAGAAGAAGCCUCUGGAAAAACAUGGCAGCCACAAGAGUCUUCAGCGGGAAGGGGAAGUUGCAGAAGGCUCAGUCGGAAGCCAGGAUGCCGGAGGGCCCUGCUUGGACUUCCACGUCACGCGUCGUGAAAAGGUGUUUAGGAGGAUCCUGAAGAGCAAGAAGCUGCCACCACCAAAGCAGAUCCUGCACUCUCUGGGACUGGGACCUCCCAUUCCCCCUGGCUCUCUUUUCUCUGUGGUCCCCUACCCAGAGGAGGACAGAGUCCCCACAGCAACAGAAGACCUCAGACACUUCAUCCUUGUUGAACCUGAGGGUGCUGCUGCAGAAGAUGAUGUGGCCCCAGAGGCAGAGGCACAGGACCAC